rnacentral:rRNA from 1 species
CCUCUUUUAGCAGGGAAGAAGCGAAAGUGACGGUACCUGCAGAAAAAGCGCCGGCUAACUACGUGCCAGCAGCCGCGGUAAUACGUAGGGCGCAAGCGUUAUCCGGAAUUAUUGGGCGUAAAGAGCUCGUAGGCGGUUUGUCGCGUCUGCUGUGAAAUCCCGAGGCUCAACCUCGGGCCUGCAGUGGGUACGGGCAGACUAGAGUGCGGUAGGGGAGAUUGGAAUUCCUGGUGUAGCGGUGGAAUGCGCAGAUAUCAGGAGGAACACCGAUGGCGAAGGCAGAUCUCUGGGCCGUAACUGACGCUGAGGAGCGAAAGGGUGGGGAGCAAACAGGCUUAGAUACCCUGGUAGUCCACCCCGUAAACGUUGGGAACUAGUUGUGGGGUCCAUUCCACGGAUUCCGUGACGCAGCUAACGCAUUAAGUUCCCCGCCUGGGGAGUACGGCCGCAAGGCUAAAACUCAAAGGAAUUGACGGGGACCCGCACAAGCGGCGGAGCAUGCGGAUUAAUUCGAUGCAACGCGAAGAACCUUACCAAGGCUUGACAUAUACGAGAACGGGCCAGAAAUGGUCAACUCUUUGGACACUCGUAAACAGGUGGUGCAUGGUUGUCGUCAGCUCGUGUCGUGAGAUGUUGGGUUAAGUCCCGCAACGAGCGCAACCCUCGUUCUAUGUUGCCAGCACGUAAUGGUGGGAACUCAUGGGAUACUGCCGGGGUCAACUCGGAGGAAGGUGGGGAUGACGUCAAAUCAUCAUGCCCCUUAUGUCUUGGGCUUCACGCAUGCUACAAUGGCCGGUACAAAGGGCUGCAAUACCGUGAGGUGGAGCGAAUCCCAAAAAGCCGGUCCCAGUUCGGAUUGAGGUCUGCAACUCGACCUCAUGAAGUCGGAGUCGCUAGUAAUCGCAGAUCAGCAACGCUGCGGUGAAUACGUUCCCGGGUCUUGUACACACCGCCCGUCAAGUCAUGAAAGUCGGUAACACCUGAAGCCGGUGGCCUAACCCUUGUGGAGGGAGCC